GGCGGCGGUCCGCGGGUGACAUGCAGUCCCUCAUCUCUCCGGUGACCAAGGCUAUCCUGGUGGCUUUGUUCAUCUUCGCCAUCCUGCUGAUCCUCUACGUGAUUCUGUGGUACAUCUGCCGCGAUGUGGAUUGCGACCAUGGGAUCUGAGCGGCGCCGCGGGGCCAGGGCUUAGGAGCCGGGAUUCACCCCGCGGGGCCGGGAGCGGCAGCGGGAGCCCCUCCGGGCGGCAGCCGCCGCCACCGCGGCCGAGCAGGGGAAGAGAAGGGGAAGGAAAGAAAAGAAGAAAAAAAGAAAAAAAAAAAAAAAAAAAGAAAGCGAGCGAGGGACCGAGCCGAAAGAGCCCGGAGGACAACUGCGAUCAAGAAACCAACCUGAGCUUGACCUUCAGAGACCAGGGUGACCCGGGUACUGUGCAACUUCACUUUCUUGGAUGAGCUGUGCAAAGCACCA
rnacentral:lncRNA from 1 species